UUUGUUUAUCUAUUCACCAGCUGAUGGACUUUUGAAUUGUUUCCAGUUUUUCAUUAUCAUGAAAAAAUGCUAUGAAUAUUUAUUUGUAUACAAAUCUUUGUGGGAAUAUGUUUUUAUUUCUUUUGGGUAGAUAUCUAAGAGUGGAACAACUGAAUCAGAUGGUGUGUGUCAGCUUAGUUUUUAAGAAACUAUAAAACUGUUUUUCAAAAUGGCUAUAUAUCAUUUUACAUUUCUACCAGAAAUGUAAGAGUAUUCCCCUUUCUAAUCAAAGUGCUUUCCUUGCCAUCUCCAGCCGUUUCAGACCUCCUUGAAGAGUUCUCCUGCUCACCCAUGAUCUCCAGCUUUUCGUUCCUAGUCUGUUAUUAAUCCCAUUUUGUACAUUUUGUAUCUAAAGCAUUGUAGUUUUCAUCUUUAGACAUUUGAUUUCGUUGGUUUUUAUCAUCCAUUGCUCUACGUAACUCUUAAAUAGAAUACUGUUACAAUAUGUAUUUUACCUUCUUGGGUGAUUAAUAUUUUUGCAUCCUUAUAAAUAUUCUUGAGUUUUGUUCUGGGAUUCAGUCAGGUUAUUCAGGAACAGUUCCGUUUUUUUAUUCUUGUUUUAAAGAUUGGCUAGCUGAAACCAGAGUACUCUAGGUACUUUACCCAGGGUCCCAUAAAUCAUGAGGUUUCUCAGGCUGAUUGGUGAAAACCAAGCAUUAUUUCUGGCCUCGUGUGAGUGCUGAACACUGUUAUCACUAAUCCUUUUAAAUUGUUCUUUCUCUAGUCUCAGGUAGUUUCCUUAAAUAAUUGCAUUGAUUGCUAUUGUACUGAAUAUUUGAGAAGACUCCUCUGCAGAUCUCCAGGGUUGUCUUUGUGUUUACUUCUCUGCUUUCCAGAGCUUUGUGCUGUGACCUCUACCUGCCUUAAUUUCCCUAGACUCUCAGUUUCACCUUAACUAAUGGAGUCCACCAGACUCUGCCUGGGUUCCCCUUCUCUGUGCCAUAGUCUGGAGACUCUCCCAAGGCAGGAAGCAGCUGUACAGCUUAUCGGAAUCGUGUCCCAUCUUUCAGGCAUCAUUGUCUUUCAAUGCAUAUUAUCCAGUAUCUUGAAAACUAUUGUUUUAUAUAACU
rnacentral:lncRNA from 1 species